rnacentral:lncRNA from 1 species
AGACCUGAAAGGACACCUGCCGAAGGUGCAGAUGCCCAGCAUCAAGAUGCCCAAAGUGGACCUGAAGGGUCCCCAGGUGGACAUCAAGGGCCCUCAAAUGGUGGACAAUGUUGCCACAGGUGAAAUCGGUGUCCCUGAGCUGGAAGUGUCGCUGCCCAGCGUGGAUGUGGACGUCCGGGCUCCUGGCGGCAAGCUGCAGGGCGAGGUGGUGGGCAAAGACAGCAAGUUCAAGAUGCCCAAGUUCAAGAUUCCCUCCUUCGGCGUGUCGGCUCCUGGCAAGUCCAUGGAGGCCUCUCUCGAGGUGUCUGUGCCAAAGGUGGAGUCUGACUUGUAUCUACCCGCCAUCCAGGAUGAGCUGAAGACUCCUGAGGUCGGUGUUCAUCUGACCUCCGCUGAUGUGGGCCUGGUGGGCUUCAAGUUGGCUAAGGGCUUGCUGCCUGAUGCAGAGCUGCUCGCCACAUGUGCAAGGCCGAAAGCACACCAGACCAAGUUGCUGAUGCCCAGCAUCAAGAUGCCCAAAGUGGAAUUGAAGGGCUCCCAUGUGGACAUCAAAAGUCCCAGAGUGGAGGUGCAAGGUGCCGAGGGUGAGUUCGGUGCCCCUGAGCUGGAAGUGUCGCUGCCCACCAUGAAGCUGGACGUCCUGACUGCCGGCGCCCAGCUGGAGGCAGAGGUGGAAACCAAGGACAGCAAGCUGCACAUUUCUCCUCUCAAUCUUCCGUCUCUUAGUCUUCAUACGAGUCAUGCUGUUUUAUCAUCUAGAAAUUUCAUGGAAAAUCUGAAGUUUCCUGGCAUGAGUUAUACACUGGCACCUGGAGACCCAGGAAUGGCUCCUGACGAGUGUGCUUCUGGUGAUCUCACUGAAUCUGGUGUGAGUUAUCCCUUUGGUAAAGAUGGAAAAGCGUGUAAGUCCAAGCAGCCUCCUGUCGAGAAGCGUCAAGUGCAAUUGUGUCAUCGGAAAGCACUGGAGGGCGUUCCUGGCCCUGGAGAGGCCCCUUCGUCCUCCCACCUGUCUGGCCUCAGUCUUGCCACGUCACCGGAAGCAGCUCUGCCAGGCCUGGACACAGCCCUGCAGGUGCCCAGGCUCGCCCUCUCGGGGCUCCCGUCCCUCAGCACGGGCACCGCUGACCUCACUCGUGUUGGGGCAGGGCCUUCUGUCCUCCCUCCCAGUGACGGUGUGAUGGUUACCCAGUUCCAGGUUCCUAUGCUCAGCCCUGUCUUCACCCCUGGAGCCCCCCAGGAUGCCACUUCUGGGUCCCCAGCCAGUGCUCUUUUUGCAGGAGUGCAGUGCUCUGUGGGCCACCAGGCUGAGCAGGGUCCUCUGCCCAUUCCCCCUGGCCGAGGCUUUCAUCCCAAGAGUCCUCUGUCUCCCAGGGUUCAGAGUCGUGUGACUUUCCCUAUGUUCCAUAAACCACGCUUCGUGCUUUCUGUUCCACUGGAAGUGGCUCCUGAGGCAGACUCUGGGUCCGCAGACUGGAGCUUUGUCCCACUUCUCAGCCAGGAGCCCAGGCAGGACUGUAUCCAUGCAGCGAAGGUAGCCCAGCUGCCAGUCUCCCAGCCACCAUCCACGGCUGUCCCUGCGUCUCAGGUGGUGCCAGAACUCCUGGGCCCAGCUGCAGGACGAGCUGCUGCCGGGGUUGCUGAGCAGGAGGGGAAGGGGAGUCCCUCCAAAACACCUCGCUUCAAGCUGCCGGUGUUCAGCUGGUCGCCAAAGAAGGAGGCCAGGCCCAGAGAGGACAGCACGUGCCACCUGGAAGACCCCACAGGGAGCCUGGCCAUGGGUCUGGAUCAUGAGGACCCCCACCCUGGGGCUCAGGACUCCCGAGUGCAGUCACACAUGGCCCUGACUCCAGAGAGGGAAGGCGACUCGGGGAGGACCAGGAAGGCUGGCUUUGUCCUACCGAGACUGGCCCUUCCCAAGCUAAAGGCGUUCAAGGGCCCAGCAGGCCUGAGGCCACCAGGAGACGCAGACGCUGUGCUUUGUAGCAGUACAGCUGCAGGUGACUGUGGAGCCACAGAGAGGGGUGGCAGCGAGGGUGGUGUAGGCAGCACAGGCCUUCCUGGAGGACCCCAUGAAGAAGGGGAUGUGACCCUCCAGCUGCCACAGACCUCCAGCCCCUGGGUGGGAUCUGCCAAACUGGAUCUUGGGUCUUUCCCGGCCGAGGAGGGGGCAAGCCAGUGUGAUGCUGAUCCCAGGUGUGACUCGGCAGUGGGAGGAGGCAGCGAAGGAUUUGGGCUCCGGGACAUCUCAGCCAGGCAGCCCCAGGGGGAAGGGACAGCCCCCAACAUAGAAGGCCCCCUGAAGGCACCCCUAGGACAUGCAGACAGAGUUCCCUCCCUGGGUAGCCCCGAGGAGGCCCCCACUGCUGGGGGGCCCAUAGCUGGUUCACAGGAGCGCUGGUUCAGAAUGCCCAGGCUCCAUAUGCCUGGCUUCAGGCGGCUGUCAUCCAAGGAGCGAGGCGGGGCCCGGGGACAGGAUGUGGCUCAGGUGCACAUGCCAGUGGCCACUGCACCCGCAGAGGCAGCAGCAGUCGCCAGUGUCCUGGUGUCCUGGGUUCCUGGGUCAGAGGUGGAGGCCAGUGUGUCCCUGAAGCCUCCAGAUGUAGAGGCAGCGGUGACAGCUUCUGGGAGCGCAUCCCGUGCAGAUGUUCUAAAGCGUGAUCUGGACUGCUCAGGCUUGAAGCGGCAUCCCCCCUCCCUGAGGAGGUCUGGAGGGGACCAGCCCGGCUCCAAGGUCCAGGUCCAUCCAGCUGAAGGCUCCUUCCCCCCUCAGAAGCCCAGUGGGGAGCCCUCAGAAGCCCAGGCUCCUGCAGCAGAGCGGCCCGACCUCAUGGAGGCAGAAGAGGGAGCAGAGCUGCGGCCCUCUGGGUCAGAAGGACCUGUGCCACUGAGGGUGUCCAGCACUGACAUGCCAUCCCAGGUCUCCGUGCUGGACACGCGGCGGCUGUGGGAAGACUCUGUGCUCACUGUCACAUUCCCCAAGCUCAGAGUGCCCAUGUUCUCUUUCCCCGCCCCGGGGGCAGAGAUGGACAUCUUCUUCCCUGUGGUGAGGGACGUGAGUGAAGCAGAGGCAGGUGUGGACCCAGGGCCGGGGCUCUGGGGUGCCAGCCUCCUGAGGGCAGGUGCCGAGGAGCCCAGGGAGCAGCCUAUGGGCCCCAGCCGCCCCUUGGAAGGUUCCCCAGUGUCCAAAGUGAAGGUGCACAUCCAGGGAGUGCAGGCUGAGAGUCGUGAGGUCCUGGUCUGCAGCCAGGUGAGGCCAGAGCGAGUGGAGCACAUGGCCCCCGAGGCCUUCUCCACACAGACUGUGUGGGCGUCAGAGAUCCCCGCAUCCACCGUGCAGACACCUUCAUACGGAUUUUCUCUGCUGAAGCUGAAGACCCUAGGGCCUCCUGCUCAGGCUCCAGACUCCAGGGCACCGGAGGGCUCUGCCGCACCCACAGCAGACUCCCUCCCUGAAGACGGCGCCCCUGAUGCCACAGAGCCAUUUGAGGUGAUAGCGGGCAGCACCAGCCUCCCUGGGCUGCAGACGCUUGGGUCUGACGACCCUGCCAGGCCUCCACUUGCAGGCAGCGGCUCUGAUGAUGAUGAUGAGCCUGCAGAAAUCCUAGAAUUUCUCCCUGAGGACAGCAGUGGGGCUUCAGCACAGCUGGCGGCCGAAGACCAAGUUCCAAAAGGAAGGCCAGAAGGAAAAAAGCCUUCGGGUCUGUUGUGGUCCUGGCUUCCGAACAUCGGGUUCUCCUCCAUCAGUGAGACCAAUGCCGGCUCCAGAGAUGAUGCCCAAAGAUCUGUUCCUGUCCUGACCCAGCCGGGGCCUUGGCCAGACUUGGAACCACCCAAGAGGCAAGAGAGGGUGGGCUGGUUCCGGUUUCCCAAAUUAGGCUUCUCCUCCUCGCCUGCUGAGAAGACCAAAAGCACAGAGGAAGAGACAGCCCUGGCCGAGCAGAAGCUCUGGGAAGAAAGUGUGACCUUCUUCGAUGCCCGGGAAAGCUUCUCCCCUGAGGAGGAGGAGAGGGGCAGCAAACCAGCCGAGAUGGCCCCGGGCACCCCAGACAUGGUGGCGUCCUCGGCGAGAACAGAGCUGAUCCUGCUGGAGCCUGAUGCCCCCGCUGGCGAGGAAUCUGGACCCAGGCCCGCGGGCAAAUGAAGGCCAGACAGGUGCAACGUCAGGGCAGAGGCUAGAGCAGCAUGGAGACCCCAUCCCGGCCCCACAUGGCACCCCUGAUUCACAAAGGUGGACGAAGCAGAACUUGGAGAGAACCUCCACACCUCACACUGCCCAGCUCCCGCCAGGCUGUGGAGGCAGAGAAGACACCAGACUCCUUGAAGAGCAGAUCCAGUCGUCCACAUGUUGAGGGCAUCCUGCUAUUCCUCCAGGGUGCUCAUCAUUGAACCCAGAACCCAGCUGUGUACACCCUCCAGCCAGGCCUGGCUGGCGCUGGCCCAGUGCCCCCUGGUGGCAAUAAAGGAAGCAGUGCAUCCCAGUGGAAAGGCUGCUGUGCUCUUUGUUCUGGGGCCCAAACUCCCUGUGCUCGCUUCCCCCACACUCCUGGUCCUGGGUGCUGU